rnacentral:rRNA from 1 species
CCUACUUUUUUCAUCAUUAUGGAAUCUUCGACAAUGGGCGAAAGCCUGAUGGAGCAACGCCGCGUGGGUGAAGAAGGUCUUCGGAUCGUAAAACCCUGUUGUUAGAGAAGAAAGUGCGUGAGAGUAACUGUUCACGUUUCGACGGUAUCUAACCAGAAAGCCACGGCUAACUACGUGCCAGCAGCCGCGGUAAUACGUAGGUGGCAAGCGUUAUCCGGAUUUAUUGGGCGUAAAGGGAACGCAGGCGGUCUUUUAAGUCUGAUGUGAAAGCCUCCGGCUUAACCGG